UUUUUUUUUUUUUGUGAACUCAGAUCAGUUAUCACCAUUAAGUUUGUCAGAAAGAAGUGGGGAGUGAGAUAAUACCCAAACCCAUUAUUUGCAAAAACACGUAGAGAACAAGAGACCUAAAAGGAGACAACAGAUUCUUUUUGCAUGGAUGAAGAUGAAAUCAUGAGCUUCUCCCUAUUACCUCCUGCAACUCUUUUGAUCACAUCUCCAAGAUUUUUCCCAGGAAAUGCGACCUCUGAUCUGAGUAGAGUUUGUACAGUUCAAUGUUGAUUUGAUGGCAUCUGAAAGGGCA
rnacentral:lncRNA from 12 species